rnacentral:rRNA from 1 species
UACGUAGGGGGCCUAGCGUUGUCCGGAUUUAUUGGGCGUAAAGGGCUCGUAGGCGGUUUGUCGCGUCGGGAGUGAAAUCCACUGGCUUAACUGGUGGCUUGCUUUCGAUACGGGCAGACUGGAGGUAUGCAGGGGGAGAACGGAAUUCCUGGUGUAGCGGUGAAAUGCGCAGAUAUCAGGAGGAACACCGGUGGCGAAGGCGGUUCUCUGGGCCUUACCUGACGCUGAGGAGCGAAAGCAUGGGGAGCAAACAGG